rnacentral:rRNA from 1 species
UACGUAGGGGGCUAGCGUUGUCCGGAAUCAUUGGGCGUAAAGAGCGUGUAGGCGGCCCGGUAAGUCCGCUGUGAAAGUCGGGGGCUCAACCCUCGAAUGCCGGUGGACACUGUCGGGCUAGAGUGCGGAAGAGGCGAGUGGAAUUCCUGGUGUAGCGGUGAAAUGCGCAGAUAUCAGGAGGAACACCAAUUGCGAAGGCAGCUCGCUGGGACGUAACUGACGCUGAGACGCGAAAGCGUGGGGAGCAAACAGG